rnacentral:rRNA from 1 species
GAUGAACGCUGGCGGCGUGCCUAAUACAUGCAAGUCGAGCGAACAGACGAGGAGCUUGCUCCUCUGACGUUAGCGGCGGACGGGUGAGUAACACGUGGAUAACCUACCUAUAAGACUGGGAUAACUUCGGGAAACCGGAGCUAAUACCGGAUAACAUGUUGAACCGCAUGGUUCAACAGUGAAAGACGGUCUUGCUGUCACUUAUAGAUGGAUCCGCGCCGCAUUAGCUAGUUGGUAAGGUAACGGCUUACCAAGGCAACGAUGCGUAGCCGACCUGAGAGAGUGAUCGGCCACACUGGAACUGAGACACGGUCCAGACUCCUACGGGGGGCAGCAGUAGGGAAUCUUCCGCAAUGGGCGAAAGCCUGAAGGAGCAACGCCGCGUGAGUGAAGAAGGUCUUCGGAUCGUAAAACUCUGUUAUUAGGGAAGAACAAAUGUGUAAGUAACUAUGCACGUCUUGACGGUACCUAAUCAGAAAGCCACGGCUAACUACGUU